rnacentral:rRNA from 1 species
AAGUCGUAACAAGGUUUCCGUAGGUGAACCUGCGGAAGGAUCAUUAUCGAAUAAACAUUUGAUAGGCUGUUGCUGGCCCUUCUAGGGUAGUGUGCACGCUUGUCAUUUAUUUAUUUUAUUUUUCCACCUGUGCACCCUUUUUGUAGACCAGGGUUUGGGGAUUGCUGUGCCAGCUUUCCCUUGUCUCUCUAGGUUCUAUGUUAACUCACAUACUCCUACGAAUGUAAUAGAAUGUUGAUCUGGGUCUUUGAUGCCCAUAAAGUUAUAUACAACUUUCAGCAAUGGAUCUCUUGGCUCUCGCAUCGAUGAAGAACGCAGCGAAAUGCGAUAAGUAAUGUGAAUUGCAGAAUUCAGUGAAUCAUCGAAUCUUUGAACGCAUCUUGCGCUCCUUGGUAUUCUGAGGAGCAUGCCUGUUUGAGUGUCAUUAAAUUCUCAACCACACUGACUUUUGACAAGUGUGGCUUGGAUUUGGGGGAAUGGGCUUUUUUUUGUAGUCUGCUCCCCUGAAAUUAAUUAGCGGUACCUUGGUGGAACUGUCUACAGGUGUGAUAAUUAUCUACAUCCUAGACAUCUGCUGGAAUGCUGCUUUCUAAACCUUACUUUGUAUUUGACAAUCUUGACCUCAAAUCAGGUAGGACUACCCGCUGAACUUAAGCAUAUCAAUAAGCGGAGGAAAAGAAACUAACAAGGAUUCCCUUAGUAACUGCGAGUGAAGUGGGAAAAGCUCAAAUUUAAAAUCUGGCGGUCAUUUGGCUGUCCGAGUUGUAAUCUAGAGAAGUGUUGCCCGUGCUGGACCAUGUACAAGUCUCCUGGAAUGGAGCAUCACAGAGGGUGAGAAUCCUGUCUUUGACAUGGACUACCAGUGCUUUUGUGGUAUGCUCUCAAAGAGUCGAGUUGUUUGGGAAUGCAGCUCAAAAUGGGUGGUAAAUGCCAUCUAAAGCUAAAUAUUGGCGAGAGACCGAUAGUGAACAAGUACCGUGAGGGAAAGAUGAAAAGAACUUUGGAAAGAGAGUUAAACAGUACGUGAAAUUGCUGAAAGGGAAACGCUUGAAGUCAGUCACGUUGACUUGAAAUCAGCUCUGCUUUUGCUGGGUGUACUUUCUUGUCAAUGGGUCAGCAUCAAUUUUGACCAUUGGAUAAAGUUGUUGGGAAUGUAGCAUCUUUUCAGAUGUGUUAUAGCCUGGCGAUGCAUACAGUGGUUGGGAUUGAGGAAUUCAGCACGCCACCAGGCCGGGUUUCGACCACGUUCGUGCUUAGGAUGCUGGCAUAAUGGCUUUAAUUGACC